UGUCAAAUUGACACAUUGACAUUUGACAGUUUGACAAUUGACACAUUGCAUCUUACCUAGGUACUUCUGAUGUAAACUGUAAAUAAAUGAAAAAAAAAAAUAUGUUUGUAAAAAACAAUUUAAAUUAAAAUGUAUUAAAUAUGUAUGUAUAGUAGAUUAAAAUACAGUUAGAUAUACAAUAUGUUUAGUUACGACGUUAAGUUUCUCACAUGUGACGACUCUGUUUUUGUGAAAAACAGUGACCUGAAAAGUUAUAAAUAUGAAGCGAAAAAGAAGUUCGACGAGACAGUUUAUGACAAUGGGAAAAGAAUGUACUGCGAGCGUCGUGGUGGUCAUGUUCGAGCCCCAAGAGUGAACCACAUAAGGCAAUUGGAAUCGAAGCUUCGGGAUUGGAAUAUCGUUGCAAGCGAAUGGAUAAACGAUUCCCUUGCAACCUUAGUAUUUUCGUCGGGUGUAAUUGCUCACAUCACAAUAAAUCCCACUACCCUUGAUGUGACACAAAUUCUGUUUGAUAGAUACUGCCUCGGUAAAUUAAUGGGAAACACGGUAACUGGCGUUGUUUUAUCUCGAACUCAUUUAUUGUUUAUACAUCCUGAAAGAAUAGCUACUCUUAUAGUAUUUGGGAAGAAAAAUGAUCAUGUGCCAUGUCGGAUCUCUGAUAGAGAUCCACAUUUACAAAGUUUAGAUUUAGGUGGAAGCUCUCGUAAAACAGACAGGCAUGUAUCCUGGUGUCAGAGCAGUACAGGCCUGCGAGUCUUGGUGUGGAGCAACAACAUUGCCGACCCAGCCCCAUGGAGUCCUCUUCUAGAAGAUCAUGCUAAUUUACAUCUGUAUAAUAUUGAAGGACAGCAAGUAUCACUGAUUGCCUUCCAUCAAAUUGAAGGUGAAGUACUAAUUGCAGAACUGUCACAAAAGAAUAACUCAAUACAUAUUGUGGAACAAGCAACAUGCCAUAAGAAUGGCGUGAAUCUUUUCUGGUUGAGGUAUGAUGUACCCAAAUCAGAUAGAGUACUACAAUUGUCUAGUUUACAUGAGAAAGUGACUCAGGUCUCAUUGUCAUCGCCUGUACGUAUCGCGCGACGGUCGCCGUGUGAUGCUAGACUGUUAACUGCCUGUAUUGAUGGCUCUGUGCAUAUUAUACAUAAUGUAGCUGGUCUUACUCAUUCAAUACGUGCAGGCUUUAUAGCAACAGAUGUCCGAUGGGCUGGUGAAUUAGUUAUUGCAAGUGAAGAGACUGGUCGUUUGCAAUGUUUCGACCGUGCUCUCUCGCUCUUACACCAUCACACAAAGUGCCUGGAUCUCACAUCACAUUUACGGGACACAAGACGCAUACAAAUUUUAGGGACGCGUUCUUUUAAAGGCGGACCCUUGAUUCUGGCAACCUUUUCCGGCGGACCAUUAACACUCUUACGAAUAAGUCAUCCCCGUUUACUUACUGCAUGGUUACGUUCAGGGCGGCCGUCAAACUCAAUAGAAUUAUUGAAAACAUUGGACUGGGAAGAAGAGGGUGAUCAAUGCUUACAUGGGAUUAGUGAAAUUGUGAUCAGUACUUUACGUAAAAAUACUUUCGAUGUGAAUGCUGAAAGUGCCAUACAAGGGGCUCUGGGGGUGUACUUAGCGCCGACCGCUCCCCUACCGCCCUCGGCGAGUCGAUAUUCGCCGCCCAUACAUGAUCUAGCUAGGAAGUUCUUUCAUCACUUGUUGAGACGUGGUCGAAUAGAAAAAGCAAUGAGUUUGGCCGUGGAACUCGAAGCGUGGGAUCUCUUUGCUGACGCCCAGUGGGCGGCUACAAGAGCGAGACAGCAUCAACUAGCGCAAGAAGCAGCCGCUUGUGCCACUCACUAUGCGCCUCGCACUCACGAUUCAGAAUGCUCAGAUUCAUGUUCACAAUGCAGCUCUCACUCAUAUUCAGAGUCUGAAGACGAACAUACACACAAUGGAAACAGGAAAAUUAAUCCGCCGCCAUUACCGCGAGUGCCUUUCACACAUCCGACUGUAUUAUCCGUUCCUAUCGCACAAAAUGACCCACCUUCAACUAACAGCAUACGACCGAAUCUCCACCAAUACCUAGAUAGAGAUAAUACAAUAUGGACUACUAAUAUCAAAGACGACAGCUACAUAAGUAAAACAUACGACAGAGACUUAAAACCGUCAAGCAACCAACAAAAUAUGAGAUGGAAUAGUGUGGAUGUGCUAAAUUUCAACAUGAACACUUCAAGAAUAAGUGAGGGUUUCGUAAAACCGACUUCUGAAGUGAUACAAAAGCCAUACAAUGAAAGAAUGGCGUCGACACACUUCAACCAUCUGUUUCGCGCGGAUUUAAAGGAUGAUGUGCCAAAUACGUAUCGAUAUACUAGCAGUUUGCACUUAUCUAAUACAAACUUUAAUGAGAGAUAUCGACAGGAUAAAACUGUAUGGCCAGGCAGUAGGCCAGCGGAGAAAAAUAAAGUAAAAUUUUCAGAUACUGUCACAAUAGCCGUUGUUCCUGAGCAACCACAAUCCGAAGUAGCCCGAGAGCUAGCGGACAGCCUGCCGCUCUGCCCGCCCAACAAAUACCUCGCUGCGUUCACACCACAAGCGAGCAAGCCGUACGACGAGCCGCGACCGCUCGGUACAACACUCGACUACGUUGAAGUGUGACGCGACACGCAUGUUAGCACGCAUGAUUGCAUGAUACUAAACUUUGCUAUGUAUGGCGAGGCUCAACGUAAUCCACCUAAGAUCAAAGUUGUACAUUUUGGUAUGGUGUGAUGCAGAAUAUAGAAUAUUUUUAUAAGAAUUUAUUAAUUUUUAAGGAUUCUAUCCGUCCAUCGCAUAUUGUAUUUUCUGAAAUAAGAAUCCAUACAUUCCAAUGGUUGUGAUAAAAGGUUCUUGUAGAGAGAUUUAUAUAAGAAUAAGAAGUUUUAUACAUUUGUUUACAUAUACAUAGUAUGUUAAUCGCACUAUAAAUGCUGAUAUUGAUUAUUGCUGAUCAAGAUAUUAUAUUUGUAAUGUCAAUGAUACACGACAGAUAUAUUUAAAAAAAAGUUGCAUAUGGUAAGGCAAUCAUUGCUGAUCUAUAUUUUGUAUUUUAUUUCCUAUCUAGUGUAAAGAUGUUCAUGAAAUAAAGAUGUAUAAAUUUAUAUAUGUAUAUAGUGUGCACACUGUAAACUCACAAAUUUUAUGAGAUUCAUAAAAUAAAGCAUAUAGGCAGUUUUGUUAAUUGUUUGAAAGUUAAAAAAUAACGUAUCAUUAAAAAGAAUACCUAUGGCCACAGUUGAAGUCAAUAUUUAAUACGCUGUAAAAAAUAAUUUCUUAUGAUCAAUACACUAUGAGGAAAAAAAGGCUACUACUUCUCCCGUCUCUUGUGAUUGUGAAAUCUCAUAAACAAACUACUAUGUACAUAUUUUUAUUGUAGUAGUAGUCUAAAAGCUACCUCUGAAAAAUGAAUUAUUAUUAGAAUAAAGUUUGCUUGCUUUCAUAUUAAAGACUAUCCUUAUCAAGAUGUUUAGAUUUUAUAGUAUGCUACGUAAAGCUUUUAUUUGGAUAUUCUUCCAGGUUCCUGGGCUUCCAUUAAACUUAGUGUUCAUGUAUUUUGUAGUUAAAAAAAAAAUUAUAAGAACAAUCA